GGGCCCGCACAAGCGGUGGAGUAUGUUGCUUAAUUCGAGGCAACGCGAAGAACCUUACCUGGGUUUGACAUGUACCGAAAAGCCAUAGAGAUAUGGUGUCCUUCGGGGCGGUACACAGGUGGUGCAUGGCUGUCGUCAGCUCGUGCUGUGAAGUGUCGGGUUAAGUCCCAUAACGAGCGCAACCCCCAUUUCUAGUCGCCAGCGGUUCGGCCGGGGACUCUAGAGAAACUGCCAGCGUAAGCUGUGAGGAAGGUGGGGAUGACGUCAAAUCAUCACGGCCCUUACAUCCUGGGCCACACACGUGCUACAAUGGUAGGGACAACAGGUUGCCAACCCGCGAGGGUGAGCCAAUCCCAAAACCCUAUCUCAGUUCGGAUCGGAGUCUGCAACUCGACUCCGUGAAGUUGGAAUCGCUAGUAAUCGCGGAUC
rnacentral:rRNA from 1 species